rnacentral:lncRNA from 10 species
GCAGAGAAAAGUCAUUUUUUUUCUCAUUUAUUGCAUAUGCACUUUCUGGCUACUCAGGUGGGAAAAAAAUCCCAUUGAUUCUCAUUACAUUGCCCUGAGGACAAGCAGUGGGGCAAGGAGGCUUAUACACUUGUUAUUUACUAUUAAGUAAUUACUAAGCCAUCCAUCUCUGAUCCCAAACACCCCAUAUGCAUAUUCGGAAUAAAAUUAACAAAGAUGAAUAUUAAAAAUCCAACAUAUUUAUUGAGCAACUACUGUGUCUGACAUAUUGAUUAACUUCACAACAAACUUAUAGUCAUUAUAUCCCCACCCUUCAUAAGCUGAAAUUAGAAUUCAAAACUUAAAUAACACCAUAUUAAAAACUCAGACUGACCCUUUCAUUUGUCUCCUUUUUUAUUUUGCUAUGAUAUACUUCUCCCAGGGAAGUUGGUGACUUAAUCCUCGUUAUACCCUGAUUUUGGACAAAUUUUACAAGAAGAAUAGGACUUCUACUUCUCUAUGUCUACAUGCACCUGGAACAGUGCUAGGUCUAUGCUUACAAAUUGAUUGGUUCAGGUCACCGCCAUGAGCCUCAGGACAGAAAAUUGCCGGAUAUGAGAGAGAGAGAGAGAUUUGACUGGGCUAAGAAAGAAAUGAACACGAUUUAGAGAUGGAAAUGGUGACAUAUGGGCCUUUGAAGCCUCCCAUGUUCCAGAGAAGCCUUUUCUAGCUGAUCUCCCAC